GACGGAUGGGGCUAGCGUUGUCCGGAAUUACUGGGCGUAAAGGGCGCGUAGGCGGCCAUUUAAGUUAGACGUGAAAGCCCUGGGCUUAACCUAGGAACUGCGUUUAAUACUGGAUGGCUAGAGUAUGGUAGAGGAAAGCGGAAUUCCUAGUGUAGAGGUGAAAUUCGUAGAUAUUAGGAAGAACACCAGAGGCGAAGGCGCUUUCUGGACCAUUACUGACGCUGAGGCGCGAAAGCGUGGGGAGCAAACAGG
rnacentral:rRNA from 1 species